rnacentral:lncRNA from 1 species
UUGGCAUUAUUAGCAUAUCAUUAUCACUUUCAUUUGGCAUGUAUGUCAUGCCCACAACACAAUAAAAUUCACAAUAGCCAUCACACAAGUCUCAUAUCACAAUAUCGCAUCAUAAUAAUCAAUCCACAAUUAUUAACAUAAUCACAUAGUUUGCCAAAAUAAAAUAAAUGAAAUAGAAAGCUUACACUCGAAACAUAGGAUAAGGGUUUAGGCUAUUCCUAAGCUCCCAAUUAACACUAGGAAUCAUGUCUACUAGCAACGAUUCCAAACACUCACGUUCACACUUUCACCGAGACGCCGAAAGCUCAAACUAGCUUUUACUUGCCUUUUGUCUUGCUCGUUGAAGGUCCUAAUGGCUUCGAAGCUUCACACAUAAUAAUGACACAUUGUACACAAUCAAUUAGCAGCCAUAAUACACCUUAAACAAACAAAAACAUAGGUCUAAGCCUAGGUCCUCUUGGAACUAAAAUUCUUAACUAACAAACAUGAAACUCAAAUAUCUUAAUCUUUACUCAUUCCCAUUGCCUAUAAUAAAUUCCAAUCAUCUACUUGUACAUAUAAGAACAAUUCUUAACAAUUUUUAACCUUUAAACUACACAAAAUUACCAAAAUUCAUGUUUCCAAAAUUUUGACGUAAAAUAAGCAUUUUUAUGAAAACUCAAUAAAUCCUUAAAAUAUCUUAACAAAACUUUAGGGAAAGUUUAGAAAGCCUCAAAUCAUGUCAAAAAAAGUUGAAAAAUACUUUGAAACAUCGUUUUUAUGCAAAAUCCCAAAUUUCACCAUUAACAACCCAAUUUUCAGCUUUUAUUCAAAUAUUUCGAUUCAAUGGAUAAUAACUCAAUUUAAAAGGCUGGAUAUCAUUAAAAACCAAUAGGAAAAUGAAAAAUUACCUUCAUUAUGAAGAAUCAAGCGUUUGAUCAGAAAUCCAAAAAACCCAAAAGUUAAGCAAUAGAGAAAUACAUGACGUUUUUUAUGGUUUUUAUGAAAUUCUAAAGAGGUUUAAUGUUAUAAGGAUGAAAGAAAUUGAAAGAUAGGAGCUUUGGAAUCAAAAUUGAAUCAAUGAGGUUUGGAAAUACAAAGGACGAAAACAAGGGUAAGGAGAGAAAAACUAUCAUGUGCUUUAUGAAGAUGAAGAGGGAAACUAAGUUAUUUUUUAAAUUUUGGUAAAAUUACUUUAAAACUACUCUUAAAUUUAACCAUUUUACAAAAUAGUCCUUAUUUUACAAUUGAAAGUAUUUUCAGCAUUAUUUUCAAAUUUUGAUUUAAUUUUUCAAAAGCUAUGAUCGAAAAUAAUUUUAGGUUACCAUAAUUCAGAAUUUUUUUGAACCUACUACAAGCCAAAAAUCUCAAUAUACCCUCAAAACUUCUAUGCCUAAUUUUGGGGUGUGCCAGGAAAACUAAUGCAUUAGGUGUACGACUUCUGUAAUAUGUAGCAUCAUUCAAAACUGUAACAGCCUGUUUUAGGGUCAAAUUAAAAUAGUAGUUUUGAAACCACAAAUAUGAAGUAGAAAUGUUAAUUUUAUUAUUUCUUUAAGGUCUACAGUAUGAUUGAAUGAUUGUAUUAGAAUUUCGUUAAGAAAUUUUAUCGAUAAAGUGUCCAAUUUGACUAAUAGGACUAAAUUGUAACAGGUGCAAAAAAUGUGUUCUAGAAGCUAGAAGUGUCUAAUUGCUAUGAAAUUUUAAAUUGGAGGUCCUUAAAUGGUAAUUAGACCAUUAUACUUUAAGUUGGACAAAAAUGGACAUGGCUAGGUGAAAUUCCAAAGUUUGUAUUAAGGGCAUUUUGGUUAUUUGGUUAAUACAGACGAAAUUAAACAAAUAAAAGAUGUCAUAUUUUCUAAUUUCAUCCCCCAUAACUGAAAUUCACAAGGGGAAGAUAUAGAUAGGGUUUUUCCAACUUCCAAGAUCGAUUAUAAGCCCGUCUUUGUGCCGUUUUUAAUGAUUUUUACGUUUUUGUAAAUGUUGUAACUUGAUUUAGCUAUUUCAAGGACUAAUUUGAAAGAAAAUCAAACUAUAAAAUUGUACCCAUGUUGAAUAUUUGUGUGUUUCGAUGUCUAAUGGUAGAAAAUAAAUGUUUGGUGAUAGAUAAACAACAUUUACCAAGUGAUUUUUGAUGAAAAUGUCAAAUAGGGACUUGUUUGUAAAAGUUGUAAAAUGUGUGUAAAAAUGUGAAUAAAUGAAAAAUGUGGCCUUUUAUGAGCAUGAAAUAGGUUCAGCUAGGCUUGGGUAAUGAAAAAAUUAGAUGAAAGUCAUUUUACGAGCCUAGGGACUAAAAUGUAAAAAGUUCAGGGGCAAAAAUGUAAUUUUUGCCAUAACGUGUUUUUGGGAUUAAAUUUAAUAAUGUGAUAAUUGAAUGAGUUAAAUUUUGUAUUAUAGAUCAAGAAAGAAUAGGCUCUGACCUAGACCGGGGAAAGAACAAAGUUGUGGACUAAAUCAAACUAUUAGCCAUUUUAUACCUAGGUAAGUUCGUAUGUUAAAAAUAAGCUUUAAUAUGAUUGUAUUUUAUUGCUUUAAUAUUGGUUGAAUUGUAUGUUUGAUAAAUGUGGAUGAGCUUAAUCCUAUGAUCGAGUCCGAAGAUGAAUCGACAAGCGAGAAAUCCCGUUGAACCUUAGGCAUAGGGUAGGAUACAAGUGACAUGUCACUAGGUUCGUUAUGUGUUAUGUGAUUAUGUGAUCUGGGUGUUGGUCUUGUAAGUCCUACCAUGGCUAAGUAUAUCGGCAUAUGUUGCGGAUACUUGACAACUUGUGUGAGCAGCACUGCGGAGCUACAUCUUGACUGACAGCUUGUGUGAGCAGGCCUGUUGAUAGCUCGAUAAGCGAGCAACUAUGUAAUAUGAGACUUGAGGUAGCAUUGGCUACAUAUGUGGCACUUAGUGUGUAAGAAUCCCGAGUAUCUAACAUUAUUAUUCUGAGUGGUUCACAGGUAUGUCAGAGAUGAGAUUACGUGUAAAUUCAUUUCGAGAUGGUACAGGUAUGUACAUGAAGCUCAUAUCUAUUAAAUGCUUGAAAUGAUGAAUAUGACAUAAGUAUUGUGAUGGAAUAAGUUAUGAUCAUUAGACUAUGGAAAAGUUACAUUUAAUCAUGUUAUAUUAUUUUAAUGUUAUAUGUAUAGUAAGGUUAGCUUAUUUCUUGUAUACGAGCUUACUAAGCUAUAUAGCUUACUCUGUUUAUUUUCCAUGUUUUUAUAGUGUCACCAAGCUAGCUCGGAUCGGAGAUAGUCAGAGAUUCGCCUCACACUAUCAAAACUGUUAUUUUGGGUAUUUGAUGAUCUUAGCAAUUUGAAAGUAUGGCAUGUAUAGGGACUUAGUCAUUUUUUUAUAUGUGUCAUUAUAAUUGGUUAAAUGUAUUGGCUUGUAAUAGCUAUUGGUUGAUUUGGUACCUUUCCAUGCUAAUUGGCUCAUUUCAGCUAACAUGGUUGUAAGCUUACGUAUAUACAUAUAUCUGCCAAUGUCUUUGGUGUUAUGGUCAUGGUAUGUUUGGUGUAUGAUGGAAUAUGAUUCAUAACAUGAAUGUGAAGUGUUUAGAAAUGUGACUUAUUGGUGAGAUGAUUAUCUUAUGUACAAAUAGGUGUCAUGAAAGUAGUUUAAUGAUACUUUGUAUAUGUGAAAUUAGCAUGAUCCAUUUGGGGCAGGAUAAAUGUUGUGAACAUGAUAGUGGAUGGUACUGCGUUGACAUGCAUUAGUCUUGAUUGUGGAUGUUUGGUUGCCCAAGUAUGCUAUGUUAUAUGACAUCAAAGCUGUGUAAGUAUAUAUAUGAAUAAGAGUGGCAAAUGGCUAGGUAAAUAGCCUUUAUUUUGUCCACACGGGUAGACACACGGGCGUGUGUCUAGGCCGUGUGUGACACACGGUCUACCCCAUAGACAUGUGUUCUGGCCGUGUGUCCCCUACACCAUAAAUUUGAGAAACAGAAUGCUUAGAAUCGAGCACUCGGGCAGAGACACGGGCGUGUGUCUCAACCAUGUGGACGGCACAGCAUCGAACACUGGUGUGUGCCCUGGCCAUGUGAAGUCUGCACCUAUUUUAUGAAAAUUAAUUUUACACACGGCCUAGAACACGAGAGUGUGACUUGGUCGUGUGAUCUCAAUGUGUUCAUGGGUUACAAGUCAAAGAGUUGUACGGGGUCAGGACACGGGCGUGUGCGACCACACGGCUUGCCCACACGGGCGUGUCCUAUAUCCACACGGGCAUUUAACCCCCGUUUAGUGGGAAGAUUUUCUAAGUUUUGUAAAAAUUCUUUGAGUUGUCUGUUUAAUCUCGAACCACUUCCCAAGCAUGUUUAGAGCCUCAUAGGCCCGUAUUAGGGACUUUAUAAUUAAUUUCAAAUGGUUUUAAUUUGGACGUAAAUUUAUGACUCGGAAUUGUAUGAUUGUUUCUGAUGUGAGUCCGGUAAUGCCUCGUACCCUGUUCCGGCGUCGAAUACGGGUAAGGGGUGUUACAAAAAUAGUGGAAUUCAUAGCCCAAAACAUGGGUGAAUGAUAUCCUCUCAUUGGCAUUACGUGGUUGUUGAAAAGUAUACAUGGCCACAGGUCGCCCGUAUUUGUGAUACAUGACUUGACCACUAUUUGAUAGUGAUUGACUAUUCAUUAAGGAUAAUGUAAUGGUUACCAUGAGAUAAAAUAGGUUCAUAUUGGGUGAACGAAUAUUAUCCCAAAAAAGAUUAAGGAUAUCAUAUGAGGGUAACACACUUAUGACGAGGUCAUUGAACGAGCACCGAAUAGAUGCUUUCGUAAUGGUAUGUCGUUGAGGAGAGCUCAGUCACGAUACUUUAGUGGAAUGAUUUUGUAAUUAAAUGAGUUUAUAAUUAAUAGACAAAAAUUUGAAACUUAAUUAUAAAUCAUUUUAGCCUCAACUACAUAUGUUCAAUCGGUCCCUCCACUAGCUCGUUGAAACCAAAAAUGAAUUGCAUGUUUGAAUAGAAAUGAACGGAAUGAAUAGAAAAAGAGAAAUGAAAAACAUUUAGGAAUGAUUAUGUUUUUCUCCAAAAUGGAGAAAUGGAACCAUUUUGAAAUGAAUAUAGGUUCCCAAAAAUGGAAAUGCAAAUGAAAAUGGCAACUUACAAUCCUAUAUAAGAUUACUUAAAAAAUGAUGGAAGAAUGAGUUUAUAUUUUUAGACUGUUUUGAAGCCUAGAAAUGAAAAUAAACCAUUUGGUCAUAGUGAACAUUUUAAGUUGUGACAUAUUGAACUAAUUUUCUCAAAAUUUUACAGCGGAUAAAAUCGUUGAAAUUUUACCGGGGGUACAAUUGUCGAAAUUUUACCAGCGAUAAAAUCAUCAAAAUUUUACCGGAGUAAAAUGGGGAUGAGAAAAUUAUUUAAUAUGUAAAUAUUAAAGCUUAUUUUUGGAAAUAGAAAAAAAAACUAGAUGGGGUUGGAUCACAUUACAGAGUACUGGGUCAAAAAUGGCCCAAAAAGUACUCGAAAUUGGACCCGAUGUGAGAGAGGCCAAAAAACCCCUCAUAUAACAUGAAGGGGGCGGCAACCCUAGUAGAACUACAAAGGUGAGACAUUCAACCCUCUCUUACUCUAAGUAGGAUGUUUUUCUAUUUAAAAUAAACCUCUACAACUCUACAAGGGUUCUACAUUCUCUUCCUAUAAAUAGAUGGCACCGUAGAGCUAUUAAGACAACUUUUGAGAGAUUGUUAUUCUACAAAAAAAUGGAGAGAGUUUAUUCUAAACUUUUAAAUGUACUUUUCUAGAAUAACAAUUUUACCAAUUUCUAUUAAAGAAGAUAGAAUUUCUGUUUUCACCCCAAAAGGAUAGAAACCUUUUUCUACUUCUAUGUUUCGAUUCAAUUAGUUUGAGCCCGCACUUAAAGCAGUUCGUAGUAUGAGAAUAGAGGAGAAGAUCAUUUGGUUGAAAGUUAGGAACAAAGAACGUCCGCUAAGCUAAAAACAUAGGUAUGAAUUUGGUUAAAGUUUAUAAAGAACGUCUGCUAAGCUAAAAACAUAGGUAUGAAUUUGGUUAAAGUUUAUUGCUAUAAAUAUCACAAACCGAGUCAGUUUUCAAAAUUUAAUAUUUCGCUGUGCAAAAAAACCGUUUUCAAACCGGGAUUUUUCCAACAUAAACCACCAUCACCCUUUAGUGUACACAAGUCUAUCCAACGACACUAAUGAAUACCACACUUCUUUGUCUAUUUUUGCCACCAAUAUUUACUCAAUAUACCUUCCAAAUCUACACACAAAAGUCUAGGCAAUAGAAAAUAAGACAUUGUUUAUGUUGGAAUUUCUUGCAAAAUAGAUUUGAUAAAUACUUCCUUAACUCUUGCAAAAGAAAGUAAAUACUCCAACUUCGACUACGACUAUGGUUCUGAUCCUUUAAAUUCUAAAUAGCGUACAUCUUACUUCAAGCUACCAUACUAGGCAAACCAAAUAUUUUUUUUGCGUUUUUUAUGUUAUGAACCCCCAAAAUUGUACCAACUUCAUUUCAAUUAAAAGCAAAAAAAUAACACUAAAAUAAACCAAUGAUUUAUCGAAAUUAAUGCACUGACUAAAAAUUUUCUAAUACUCUUGCAAGAUUCCUUAAAAUCAUUUGAGCCCCUCGCAUAGAAUCCUCACCAAACAUGAUACAGUCAUAGGUAAAAGUAAAUAUGUAAGAACUGUUGAUCUUAUACUGAUUCUUAUUCCUCCCAAAAUCCCAUCAACUAUUGUCAACAGUAAAAUGGGAUAUAGCCCUUCACUACAAAUGAGGAACAAAUACAGACUCAAAGGGUCCCAUUUUUGUAAACCCUUUGAUGGAGAAAGGCAAUGCCCAUCUUUUCUAUUCAAAAUUACUAAGUAAUUAAAGUGACACACCUUAUAACAAUAUCAACCCAUUGUUAAUCAAACCCCAUCAGUACUAACAUGUGUUUCAAAAAGAACCUCUCAAAUAUGUCAUAAUUCUUACUCAUGUCUAUUUUAGCAACAAUAAAUCCAUUUCUUUCUAAUCUCUUUCUUUGAAGUGCAUGAAUGGCCUCAUAAGCAAUUAAAUUUGAGACAAAUUUAUGCAAAACCUUGCAUAAACUAAUCGGCCUAAAAUGUUUCAUAUUUUGUGGAUUACUAACCUUCAGGAUAAAAACAAUCUGAGUAUGACUAAAAUCAACAAUAGGGGUAUCCCUCUCCAAAAUACUAAUACAAAUUUGUCCAACCUCAACCCCCGAUAUAUGUUAGAAAUUUUGAUAGAAAAUAGUUGGAAGCCCAUCCGAACCCAAUGCCGUUUACGGUUCCAUAUCUUUCAAUACCGCCACCACCUCCUCCUUAAAAUUUUCAUCAAUAGCGAAUUCAUCUCAUCCGAAAUACAAUAUUUCACUCCAGAAAGCACAUGGUCUAUAUUUCCCGCCCCUUGAGCUGUACACAAUCUAUCAAAAUAAUCUUAACCAAUUUCCUCCUUAUUAUUAGUUGAGCAUAUCACCCUCUCAUAAUUAACUAUGCUAUUCGAUUUAUAUGCCUCAUCUGAAAGGCAAAGCUAUGGAAAAAAGUUGAAUUCCUAUUCCCUUAACGAAGCCAAUUUGCUCGAGCUCUUUGAUCUCAAUAAAUCUCCUCCUUAUCAAUCUCCAAAUUUAACUCAAACCUAAUAUCCACUAGCUUUGCCAAUACUUCGUCAUCUGAGUCCAUCACUAUCAAAUCCUCUAGUCACUUCAAAAGUUUGUUCUUUUUUGCUCGCCUAUUGCUAUUCACCAUUUUAGCCCACCUCUGAAGACCAUUACUAAUAACAACCAAUCGUUCUGGAACUAUUCCACUACUACCAUCCCAUAACCUUUGAACCUUAACCUCACGUGUUUCCUCCAACAACCCUUAAGCCUUGAAAUAGAAACUCUAUGUUCAGACCCUAUUAUCUAUCAUCAUCAUAUGUAGAAGAAUCAGACAAUGAUAAAAAAAUGAAUAAACCAAAUGUUGAAUAUUAUUAGCAGAAAAUUUCCCUCUUUCCCAAGUAAACCAUCUCCCAUCAAAGCCAAGAUCCAACAAGUGAGAAGCCUCCAAUGCAUCCCUAAAAUUAGACAUUCAUUGCUCAUCCACCUCUUUUCUCAAAAGAAAACAUAAUUUCACUAAACUCCCAAUCACUACCCACAACAAACUUUGAUCCUCAUCUAAUUGUUUAAGCAAAUCCCAAGACAUUCCUCUAAGUCUAGAACCCAGAUUCCCAGUUGAUAGAAGGUAUAACCUGCGAUAGUACCUGCAAAGAUGGAAAACGAUCUGGCUCAACUCUCAAUUAAUGAUGAAGAAUAUAAAGUUUUUCAAAUACAACCAGAUCCUAACAGAGAAGGAAGGGGGGAGAUUUUUCGACUUGUGGGUUGUUUUCUAACUGCUAGCGUCAUUUACUUUCCAGCAAUAAAGAGUACUCUGGCUAAUUUGUAGCAUCUAGUUUGGGGCAUUCAGAUCCAGGAUCUAGGAGAGAAAAGGUAUUUAUUCCAAUUUUUUCAUAUUAUGGAUCUGGAAAGGGUCAUCAAGGGUUUUCCCUGGAACUUCAACAAUCAUUUGCUGCUGCUUUAUAAAUUGAAUUGGGGAGAGGAUCCACUACAAGUACCCUUAGUUAUGACGCCGUUUUGGGUUCAAAUUCAUGACGUCCUCAUUGGGGUUUUUUCUAAGAGUUUGGCUAUUCAAAUGGGGAAUUUUUUAGGGUUUUUUAGAAUAUGAUGGCUCUACUCUAGGUAAGGAGAAUAGGAAUUUUAUGAGGAUCAGAGUCCAAAUUGAUGCCAGGCGCCCUUUAAAAAGGAAGAAGUAGAUUUUUUUUUCUGAAAGAAGGUCAUAUGUCAAUUUCAAAUAUGAGCAAUUAUCGUUAUUUUGUUUUUUCUGCGAAAGAUUGGGCCAUAGCGACUCCUUUUUUGAAGCAAAGAUGACACUUGGUGUGGAAGUAGCUGAAAUGGGAUAGGAUUUGUCUUUACGAACUCAGACCCGUAGAGGGUUAGCAAUGAGCAGUAUAUGGCUGAGAGAGGAUGGAGAGGGGAAAUUGGGAGAUGAUGGAGGACGUUUUGAAGGAGGAGGGAUUGGGUAUUGGCGGAUGGAAAAUAAAAUAAGAUGCGUGGACCUAGUUCUUGGAUUUAACUUAGAAGGGGGAUCGUUAGGGUCUAAUCAAAGGGUGGUAGAUGUAUUACUAAAGCAAUCUUAUGAUUCUAUGGAGCAUGAUUUGGAGGACCCAACACUAUUAGGAGAGGAGGGGAAGAAAAGAUCUAGAAUUAAAUUUGAUAAUUCCAUAGAAAAUUAUGAUAACAAUAAUGUGCUAACCAGAAAUAGGAAAGUGGAGGAACGCAAUCUCAUAUUAUCAGCGGCUGCCAAAAGGCAAGCCCACCGAACGCAAUGAAAAUUUUAAGUUGGAAUGUUAGGGAUUUAGGGAGUCCUCGAACAAUUAGGAGACUUCGGCAUUCACUGAAGACUUUUAAUCCCCAAUUAGUCUUCUUUAUAGAGACUAAACUUUGUAGUUUACAAAUGGAGAGAGUUCGAAGAAGUUGUGGCUUUGCAAAUGGAAUUGAAGUUGAUUCGGAUGGAACAAGAGGAGGCUUGUGUAUGGCAUGGAGAAACGAUAUUGAGAUAAUUCUUAAAAGUUUUUCCAAGAGGCACAUUGAUGUGAUCGCAGACGAUGUAGAAAUCAGUGGGAAGUGGCAAUUUAUGGGCUUCUAUGGUACCUCUUAUGCUCGGGAUAGAGAAGACUCUUGGGCUGUACUGAAAACUCUUACUCGAGAUGAAGAUACCCCUUGGUUUGUUUGCGGGGACUUUAAUGAAAUUAUGUAUGGUUUCAAAAAAUAGGGAGGCUUACUUAGAGAAGAAAGAAGGGUGGAAUUGUUCCGGAAAACGCUAGAGGACUGUCAACUAAAUGAUGUGGGUUUUUCGGGGAGGUCGUUUACUUGGGAGAGGGGGAAUCUUCCUGAGACAAAUAUACGAGAAUGACUAGAUAGGGGGUUGCUAAUGCAAGUUGGAUGGCUUUGUUUCCUGAAGCGGUAAUUCAACAUAUGGUUAAUUCUUUCUCUGAUCAUUGCCCCCUCUUGAUUGAGACUCGCAAAGAAGAAGCCAAUAGAAGAGAAGUUACUUUCAAAUUUGAAGCAUGGUGGAUUCUAAAAGACUCUUUUAAUGAAGAAGUUAAAAACCUUUGGGGAAGGGAAGUAGGAGAUCUUUUACAAAAGCUUGAGUUUUUUAGAACAUGACCGAAAAAGUGGGCGAGGAAGAUUUGAACGAAUAGGAAUUAGAAGAAGGAUAUGAUAACAAAUAAAUUAUCAGAAUUAGUAGAGGCUGAAAGGGAUGAUGGGAAUUUAGCUGACAUGAUUGACACAAAAAUUCAGCUAAACUUUGAAAUUGAAAAGGAAAAAUAUUACUGGGAACAAACGGCUUGGUUAAACUGGCUGCAACUUGGCGAUAGGAACACAACUUUUUUUCAUAGUCAUGCAACACAAAGGAGGAGGAAGAAUCAGAUUAAGAAGCAGCAGAAAGAUAAUGGAGAGAUUACGGAAGAUGUUCGGGAAAUGGAGGAUGCACGGGUGUAUUUUGAGAAUUUGUUUAAAGCAGGGAGGACUACUUUUAUUGAACAUGUAAUUUCGAGUAUUAAUCGUUGUAUCUUUGAUGAAGAUAAUAGUAAGCUCUUAACACCUUUGAGGGAGACGAAAUUCGGGGAGCUUUGUUUGAGAUGGAGUCUACAAAGGCACUAGGGGAAGAUGGAUUUCCAGCUCUUUUUUAUCAAAGAUGCUGGGAUAUCGUUGGGAGUGACGUUGUUUCCUUUUUCCUAAAUUUUUUGAAUGGAGAGAUGGAGGUUAGUUCAAUUAAUGUAACUCAGAUUGUGCUGAUCCCAAAGAUUAUUAUUAAUCCUUCUAAUCUGACUUAUUUUCGGCCAAUUAGUUUACGUAAUGUUAUUUACAAAAUUGUGGCAAAGGUGAUUGCAAACAGAUUUAGAGGUGUUAUUGAUAAAUGCAUUGAUGAAGCACAGAGCACAUUUAUGCCAGGGAGACUCAUAACAGAUAAUGCACUAGUGGCCUAUGAAAUUUUACAUUCGAUGAAAUAAAAGAGAGGGGGAAGAAAGGAUUUAUGGCAGUCAAGUUAGACAUGAGUAAGGCCUAUAAUCGAGUAGAAUGGAAUUUUAUUCAAGAAAUCAUGAGUAGAAUGUGUUUUGCUCAAAAAUGGAUUGAAUCUAUUAUGAAAUGUAUCUCUAGGGUUUCGUAUUCAACAGUGGUUAAUGGUAAUAAAGGAGAUAUUUUCUAUCCAACAAGGGGACUUAGGCAAGGAGAUUCACUAAGCCCUUUUUUAUUCUUGAUAUGUGGAGAGGGUCUAUCAGGUUUAAUGCAAAUGGCUACUGGCGAAGGAGUUAUAAAAGGUGUCAAAGCUAGUAGGAGUGGCCCUAGGGUGUCUCAUUUAUUAUUUGCUGACGAUUGCAUACUGUUCGAAGAAGCAACAAGAAGGAGAGUAAGCACAAUCAAGCAAAUUUUGCGAGAGUAUAAAAACAGUUUAGGACAGUGUGUAAAUUUUGAAAAAUCGGUAGUCUUUUUUAGCAGUAACAUAUCUGAGGAAAUUAGGCAGAUGGUGAUCACCCAAUUGGGAAUUUGCAACUCCAAUGAAUUAGAAAGGUAUUUAGGGCUGCCAAGUUUAGUUGGGAGAAGGAAAAAAGAAUCUUUUCAAGCAUUGAAGGACAAAAUAAAAUAGUGGAUUGAUAAUUAGAGUAUGAGGUUACUGUCUCAAGGUGGUAAGGAGAUAUUUAUUAAAGCAGUUUUACAAGCGAUACCGACUUACUCAAUGGCCUGUUUUCUAUUACCAAAAACUUUAUGUGAUGAAAUGGAAGGCAUUGUAGCCAAAUUUUGAUGGAAAAGGGGUCGUGGGAGGAAAGAAAUUCAUUUGUGUUAUUGGAGAAAUAGGUGUUCCUUAAAAGAAGUUGGAGGUAUGGGUUUUCGAAAUUUUUGCCAAUUUAAUGUUGCGUUAUUAGCUAAACAGGACUGGUGCCUUACUAAUAAUCCGAGUUCAUUAUUAGCCAGAGUUUUUAAAGCCAAAUAUUAUCCGCAAUCAAACUUUUUAAACGCAUAGUUAGGUUGGUUACCUUCAUAUACCUGGAAGAGCAUUUGGGCAGCGCGAAGGCUCAUUCAGGAUGGGCUAUGUUGGAGGGUCGAACGAGGGACUGAGAUAGAUGUCUGGACUGAUUGUUGGAUUCCUGGAUUGGAAGCCAUUGGUAGGCAAGGUAGAGAGACAAACAGUGAAGUAUUGUUAGUUUCGGAUUUAAUUAAUAGUACUAGUAGGACUUGGAAGCGAGAUCUGAUCAAUAAUACCUUUCAAUCAGACAUAGCGCAAAAAAUUGUGAAGAUUCCUUUAGCCGAGACAGAACAUGCUGAUUUUUAGGUGUGGAAAGAGGAACCUUCAGGGGAGUUCUCAGUAAGAAGCGCCUAUAAACUAUUACAUUAUUCUAGCUUGAAUCCUAAUAUUUAUUUAUUAUAGCCUGAAACAAGAAACUUCUACAAAAAAUUAUGGGAUUUACAACAACCAGGUAAAAUUAAGAUACUAGUUUGGCGAAUUUCCUAGAACUACAGUCCUUCCUUAGUAAACCUAAGAUCCAAGAAAGUAACAGAGAAUGCUCGGUGUCCUUGGUGCCAACUUGAAGAGAAAGACAGUAACCAUAUCUUUAGAUUUUGUCCUGCAACCAGUGAAAUAUGGAAUCUUAUCAAUCUCUCUUGGACUAUAGUUCAUGGUAAUCAAAGCUUUUGGGAAUGGCUAACCUGGGUUUUUGAAAGGAGUACAAUAGAGCAGUGUCGAUUCUUUUGUUGUGCGUUAUGGUGCAUAUGGAGUUCUCGAAAUCAACUCGUACAUGAAAAGAAGAUCAUACCAGUUAGGGAUUUAGCAAAGAAAGUUAGUAGUCACAUAGCAGAACUGGAUGGGAUCCGAAUGAAAACACUUACCUUUUCUACCAAAAGGGUCAACAGUUACACUGGAGCGACGAGAGGCAUCACAGUUCAGUUUGAUACCACUUUUAACAGAAGGAAUGCUAGAUCUGCCUCAGGUAUAGUCAUUCGAGACUAGAUGGGAGCUUUAAAAGCCUCAAAGACAGUUACACAUGAGGAUAUCCCCACCCCGUUCGCAGUAGAAGCUCUCGCAGGAUUAGACGCCUUUAAGUUGCAAGAAAUAGGGCUAUCAACAGUAACAAUAGAGGGGGAUUCGAAAAUAGUCAUUCAAAAAUGCCAAAUGACAGAAAUGAACAAGUCGGUUCUUGGAACAAUUAUACAUGAUAUACAGACCAGAAAAUCCAAGGUUCAAGACGUCACUUUCAAGUUUAUCCACAGAACGGAGAACAUUCAAGCCCAUAAUUUAGCAAAAGAAACGCUAGAGAGAAGGGAGGACUCAUACCUUGGAGGGGCAACGACAAUCCACAGAGAAGCAGACCCAGAGGGAAGAUGGAGAGAGGCUCCAAAUUGAAGACGAACGGGCAAGGACUAGAGAGCAGUUAAGGGUAGCAAGAUUUGAUAUUUUUGGGAAUGGCUAUCUGUUUAAGCGUGCCUGUUGGGACGUGAAAGGACGAGUUAAGCAUUAAAUGGCCAGUCUGUUAGAUGUGACUGGGAGAUUUUCUUUGAUUUCCUUGUCGUUUUUUUUCAUCUUUUAUUCUUUAUUGUCUUUCAUCAUUCUUUUUCAGUUACGGACAAGGGAAUAGGGAUGCCC